rnacentral:rRNA from 1 species
CCUACGGGAGACUGCAGUGGGGGAUAUUGCACAAUGGGGGGAACCCUGAUGCAGCGACGCCGCGUGGGUGAAGGAGCGUUUCGGCGCGUAAAGCCCUAUCGGCAGGGAAGAAGAUGACGGUACCUGACCAAGAAGCCCCGGCUAACUACGUGCCAGCAGCCGCGGGAAUACGUAGGGGGCACGCGUUAUCCGGAUUUACUGGGUGUAAAGGGGGCGCAGACGGCAAUGCAAGCCAGGAGUGAAAGCCCGGGGCCCAACCCCGGGACUGCUCUUGGAACUGCAUGGCUGGAGUACAGGAGGGGCAGGCGGAAUGCCUAGUGUAGCGGUGAAAUGCGUAGAUAUUAGGAGGAACACCGGUGGCGAAGGCGGCCUGCUGGACUGUGACUGACGUUGAGGCCCGAAGGCGUGGGGAGCAAACAGGAUUAGAUACCCCAGUAGUC